UACGUAGGGGGCAAGCGUUGUCCGGAAUUACUGGGCGUAAAGAGCUCGUAGGUGGUUUGUCGCGUUGUUCGUGAAAACUCACAGCUCAACUGUGGGCGUGCGGGCGAUACGGGCAGACUGGAGUACUGCAGGGGAGACUGGAAUUCCUGGUGUAGCGGUGGAAUGCGCAGAUAUCAGGAGGAACACCGGUGGCGAAGGCGGGUCUCUGGGCAGUAACUGACGCUGAGGUGCGAAAGCGUGGGGAGCAAACAGG
rnacentral:rRNA from 1 species